AUUGAACGCUGGCGGCAUGCCUUACACAUGCAAGUCGAACGGUAACAGGUCAAGCUGACGAGUGGCGAACGGGUGAGUAAUAUAUCGGAACGUGCCCAGUCGUGGGGGAUAACGUAGCGAAAGCUGCGCUAAUACCGCAUACGAUCUCUGGAUGAAAGCGGGGGACUCGCAAGAGCCUCGCGCGAUUGGAGCGGCCGAUAUCAGAUUAGGUAGUUGGUGGGGUAAAAGCCCACCAAGCCGACGAUCUGUAGCUGGUCCGAGAGGACGACCAGCCACACUGGGACUGAGACACGGCCCAGACUCCUACGGGAGGCAGCAGUGGGGAAUUUUGGACAAUGGGCGAAAGCCUGAUCCAGCCAUGCCGCGUGCAGGACGAAGGCCUUCGGGUUGUAAACCUCUUUCAGUACCGACGAAGCGCCGAUGAUGGUGGUGACGGUAGGUACAGAAGAAGCACCGGCCAACUUCGUGCCAGCCGCCGCCGUAAGAC
rnacentral:rRNA from 1 species